rnacentral:rRNA from 1 species
AGAGUUUGAUCAUGGCUCAGAACGAACGCUAGCGGCAGGCUUCAAACAUGCAAGUCGUACGCGAAAGGUAGCAAUACCGAGUAGAGUGGCGCACGGGUGAGUAACACGUAACUAACUUCCCCUCUCGCUGGGGACAACUCCGGGAAACCGGAGCUAAUACCGAAUAAUUUAACGGGGACCUCGGUCCUUUUUAAUAAAGUCGUAAGACGCGGGAGGAUAGGGUUGCGGCCUAUUAGCUUGUUGGUGAGGUAAUGGCUCACCAAGGCGACGAUAGGUAGCUGGUCUGAGAGGACGAUCAGCCACACUGGAACUGACACACGGUCCAGACUCCCACGGGAGGCAGCAGUUGGGAAUAUUGGACAAUGGGGGCAACCCUGAUCCAGCCAUGCCGCGUGAAUGAUGAAGGCCUUCGGGUCGUAAAGUUCUUUCAGCAGGGACAAAGAACUUGAUGGUACCUGCAGAGAAGCACCGGCUAACUCGUGCCAGCACCGGGUAAUCG